GACACCUUGGAGCUGUGUGUGUUUAUGAUCAACCAUCCCAGCUCUGAGGUGAUG
ensembl:miRNA gmo-mir-11245 gmo-mir-11245